CUGCAUUGAGUAUGCGUUUGGUUUUUGAUGGACUGAAAUAUUAAUUUUCCGUGUUUGUUUAUAGUCAGAAAAAUACUGUUGCGAUGGAACCAGAUUUUUCCGUAAAAGUUUUCGUAUGCAGUUUCUCGCACCGAAAAAAACAGGUCCUGAGUAGGAGAAUCGAGAUGAUCGCAAUCUCGAGAGGACUUGGUUCGGAAUAUUUUUAAUCAUUUUUAUAAAUUAAUUGUCCAUACUACAUCCUCACAAUGGGGGCAGCUUCCUGGAGACCAUACAUCCCAUAAUAUGGAUUUUUGUUUGCAGACGUCACAUUAAGUUCACAUUAUGUUAACAAUAAAUCGUAAAA